CACCCUACUAUGUUGUUCGCCAGAGUACUACAAGCGCUAGCUUAAAACCCAAAGGACUUGGCGGUAUCCCACACCCACCUAGAGGAGCCUGUUCUAUAACCGAUAAUCCCCGUUCAACCUCACCACUUCUUGCCAUUACCGUCUAUAUACCGCCGUCGUCAGCCCACCCUGUGAAGGACCAAAAGUAAGCAAAAAGAAUAAAACUCCAAAACGUCAGGUCGAGGUGUAGCAAAUGAAGUGGAAAGAAAUGGGCUACAUUUUUUUCCAAAAAUAUACGAAUGGUAAACUGAAAACAUACCUAAAGGUGGAUUUAGCAGUAAGAAGAGAUCAGAAUACUCCUCUGAAACCGGCUCUGGGAUAAGCACACACCGCCCGUCACUCUCCUAAAAACAACUCAUCAUUUUCCAUAAAUACAUUCCUUCAAUAAGAGGAGGCAAGUCGUAACAUGGUAAGUGUACUGGAAAGUGCACUUGGAAUC
rnacentral:rRNA from 1 species